CAAUACCAACGACUUGAGCCCAACGAGGAAAUGUAUCACAAGCUAUGAAUAGUUUUCCGGGAAACUCCUCUUAAAGCGAAAGUCGUCAGUCUUUUUACGCACUUGUGUAUCAUCUACAGUGUUCUGCCCAUUACUGCUGUUGGAAGGAAGGCUGUCACAACGAAGAAGUGCGAACAUCUUUCUUGAAGAUCGGGGAAUGGGUCUACU